GCUGCUCGUAAUAAUAUCACACCUCUCCGUGGUGGGCAGCAGGCAACGAUCUAUUAUGAUCGGCGAAGAUGCGAGA
rnacentral:ribozyme from 1 species